CCUACGGGAGGCUGCAGUGGGGAAUAUUGGACAAUGGGGGCAACCCUGAUCCAGCCAUGCCGCGUGUGUGAAGAAGGCCCUCGGGUUGUAAAGCACUUUCAGUGAGGAAGAACGCCUGGUGGUUAAUACCCAUCAGGAAAGACAUCACUCACAGAAGAAGCACCGGCUAACUCCGUGCCAGCAGCCGCGGUAAUACGGAGGGUGCGAGCGUUAAUCGGAAUUACUGGGCGUAAAGCGCGCGUAGGUGGCUUGAUAAGCCGGUUGUGAAAGCCCCGGGCUCAACCUGGGAACGGCAUCCGGAACUGUCAAGCUAGAGGGCAGGAGAGGAAGGUAGAAUUCCCGGUGUAGCGGUGAAAUGCGUAGAGAUCGGGAGGAAUACCAGUGGCGAAGGCGGCCUUCUGGACUGACACUGACACUGAGGUGCGAAAGCGUGGGUAGCAAACAGGAUUAGAUACCCUGGUAGUC
rnacentral:rRNA from 1 species